rnacentral:tRNA from 1 species
ACCGGUUUUCAAGACCGGAGCUAUCAACCACUCAGCCACCUCUC